CCUACGGGAGGCUGCAGUGGGGAAUAUUGGACAAUGGGCGAAAGCCUGAUCCAGCCAUGCCGCGUGUGUGAAGAAGGCCUUCGGGUUGUAAAGCACUUUCAGUGGGGAAGAAAGCCUUGGGGCUAAUACCCUCGAGGAAGGACAUCACCCACAGAAGAAGCACCGGCUAACUCCGUGCCAGCAGCCGCGGUAAUACGGAGGGUGCGAGCGUUAAUCGGAAUUACUGGGCGUAAAGCGCGCGUAGGCGGUCUGAUAAGCCGGUUGUGAAAGCCCCGGGCUCAACCUGGGAACGGCAUCCGGAACUGUCAGGCUAGAGUGCAGGAGAGGAAGGUAGAAUUCCCGGUGUAGCGGUGAAAUGCGUAGAGAUCGGGAGGAAUACCAGUGGCGAAGGCGGCCUUCUGGACUGAAACUGACGCUGAGGUGCGAAAGCGUGGGUAGCAAACAGGAUUAGAUACCCUAGUAGUC
rnacentral:rRNA from 1 species